rnacentral:tRNA from 3 species
CCGGGAUAGCUCAGCUGGUAGAGCAGAGGACUGAAAAUCCUCGUGU